rnacentral:rRNA from 1 species
CUACCCUUAACCCUUCCCCCCCCGUUUGGUUGGUUCCGUCCCGUUUCCGUCCCCCGUUACCCCCGAACCGUAAACUUUAAACGUUUCCGGGCCCGGGGCCCGGUCCGGUACCGUACCCUACGAAGUUAGUUAACGGAAACCGUCGUCGGGGCCGGACGGACCGGGUAACCCUAAACCAACUAGUCGAACGUAAACGGUACGGACGGGACGGUAGUAAGGGGAAAGGGGACGUUCGUUCGUCCCUCCCUAGUUAAGUUACGGCCGGGACGGGACGGGUAGUAAGUAUCGACGUAAGAUCUCGCGUGGUGGAGGACUACGUAGAAGACAUACACNACUCGUCGAGGAGAGGUGGGGAUCUUCGGACCUCACGCUAUCAGAUGAGCCUAGGUCGGAUUAGCUAGUUGGUG